GCCUGGCUGGCUCAGUUGGAAGAGCAUGAGGCUCUUGAACUCAGGGUCGUGAGUGGUCAUGAGUUCGAGCCCCAUGCUGGGUG
rnacentral:tRNA from 1 species